rnacentral:rRNA from 1 species
GAGAGUUUGAUCCUGGCUCAGGAUGAACGCUAGCUACAGGCUUAACACAUGCAAGUCGAGGGGCAGCAUGGUCUUAGCUUGCUAAGGCCGAUGGCGACCGGCGCACGGGUGAGUAACACGUAUCCAACCUGCCGUCUACUCUUGGACAGCCUUCUGAAAGGAAGAUUAAUACAAGAUGGCAUCAUGAGUCCGCAUGUUCACAUGAUUAAAGGUAUUCCGGUAGACGAUGGGGAUGCGUUCCAUUAGAUAGUAGGCGGGGUAACGGCCCACCUAGUCUUCGAUGGAUAGGGGUUCUGAGAGGAAGGUCCCCCACAUUGGAACUGAGACACGGUCCAAACUCCUACGGGAGGCAGCAGUGAGGAAUAUUGGUCAAUGGGCGAGAGCCUGAACCAGCCAAGUAGCGUGAAGGAUGACUGCCCUAUGGGUUGUAAACUUCUUUUAUAAAGGAAUAAAGUCGGGUAUGGAUACCCGUUUGCAUGUACUUUAUGAAUAAGGAUCGGCUAACUCCGUGCCAGCAGCCGCGGUAAUACGGAGGAUCCGAGCGUUAUCCGGAUUUAUUGGGUUUAAAGGGAGCGUAGAUGGAUGUUUAAGUCAGUUGUGAAAGUUUGCGGCUCAACCGUAAAAUUGCAGUUGAUACUGGAUAUCUUGAGUGCAGUUGAGGCAGGCGGAAUUCGUGGUGUAGCGGUGAAAUGCUUAGAUAUCACGAAGAACUCCGAUUGCGAAGGCAGCCUGCUAAGCUGCAACUGACAUUGAGGCUCGAAAGUGUGGGUAUCAAACAGGAUUAGAUACCCUGGUAGUCCACACGGUAAACGAUGAAUACUCGCUGUUUGCGAUAUACUGCAAGCGGCCAAGCGAAAGCGUUAAGUAUUCCACCUGGGGAGUACGCCGGCAACGGUGAAACUCAAAGGAAUUGACGGGGGCCCGCACAAGCGGAGGAACAUGUGGUUUAAUUCGAUGAUACGCGAGGAACCUUACCCGGGCUUAAAUUGCAGAUGAAUUACGGUGAAAGCCGUAAGCCGCAAGGCAUCUGUGAAGGUGCUGCAUGGUUGUCGUCAGCUCGUGCCGUGAGGUGUCGGCUUAAGUGCCAUAACGAGCGCAACCCUUGUUGUCAGUUACUAACAGGUUCUGCUGAGGACUCUGACAAGACUGCCAUCGUAAGAUGUGAGGAAGGUGGGGAUGACGUCAAAUCAGCACGGCCCUUACGUCCGGGGCUACACACGUGUUACAAUGGGGGGUACAGAGGGCCGCUACCACGCGAGUGGAUGCCAAUCCCAAAAACCUCUCUCAGUUCGGACUGGAGUCUGCAACCCGACUCCACGAAGCUGGAUUCGCUAGUAAUCGCGCAUCAGCCACGGCGCGGUGAAUACGUUCCCGGGCCUUGUACACACCGCCCGUCAAGCCAUGGGAGCCGGGGGUACCUGAAGUACGUAACCGCGAGGAGCGCCCUAGGGUAAAACUGGUGACUGGGGCUAAGUCGUAACAAGGUAGCCG